GUCAACCACCCCGCCCUGAAGGGCGGAGCUUGAAAGGAGGUUCGACAGGCUCGGGUUGACCAGGGAAAGCGGUACCCAACCCGCUCCGUUGGCAACAGGUACAAGACCCACCCCGGGAUGCUUCCUCAGUCCCGGGCUCUGGAAGCCGCCGAUGCAGACAACCGCGAGGGCCAGGACGAAACGGUCGGCGGCAAGGGAGCGAUCCCGAAGCCGGUUGCCAACAUUUCCGAGGGGAGACGCUUCGCAAGAAGCG
rnacentral:ncRNA from 1 species